rnacentral:lncRNA from 1 species
GCACUGAUGGAUUCUAACUUCCCUUUACUCACCAGGAUGAAGGAUUUCUCACUGGAGUUCCUCACCAUCAGAAGGACAGAGACCCAUCUGCUGAGGAACAGUUGGAGACAGCAGUAGAUCCUUGUGCCCCGUGACUAAGAACACAACAUUUGCUUGUUUUGAAUUGAGAUUCUUCCUCCAUAAAACGAUGAUGGAAAAACACCUGUUCUCAUUCACCUGAAGCUCAGCCAUGGGAAUGAAGAUGUAAAUCAGGGGCUAAUCUAAAUGUAUUGUUCUUAUCUGGGCAUCUCCCAUGAGCCUGUAUUGAGCCAAUGUGUGAGACACCAGCCUAGAACACACACAGUCCUCCCUCCCCAAGUUCUGGAAGAACCGGAGGCUGGUGUUGCAGUUCUUUGAAGUAAGGCCAAGCGUGUCAGCUGACUGACUCCACCACUUCCACCUGUAGGGACUUCAAGACUCACACCACACGUUCAGCCCUGGGUAAGAACUGCUGUGCUCAAAGGCUGGGCCAGGCUCCAGGUUUUUCUCUUUGGUUCAUGGAUUAAAGUGGAAUUUUCCAGAAAGGCUUGAUCCAGGAACAAUCCUUCUCUUUGGUCUGCAGGUUCUUUCUGUGUGCAGCAGAACAACACCAGCUCCCCACUGCCCUGCAGGCAUGGGUAGCUAACUCAUCUCUGCCCACUCCAUCAGCUGUCACACCUCAGAGAAAGGAAGGCAGGUGCUUCCUCCCAACAAAGGACCUGAUUUUGGUGUGGAUUUCACUGAUUUACCUAAAAGAGUCAGGAGUUUAUUCAUAAAGUGUACAUAAAAGGUAUCCCUCUGUUUUAGUAAGUGAUACAUUAUUAUUAUUAAAGGAAACAUAAUUUCCUUGAACAAACAACUUGCCUUUUCUCGCCUUACUUUCCCCUUCUAUAAAGUAAAAGCGUUUAUAAUUGCCUUUGAGGUUCUAGACUUAAUACUAUUAUAUGAAAAAUAGCUAAGAAUACCCAUAAAAAAUUAAAGGAUGGUGACUGGAAAGAUGGCUCAGUGAUUAAGAGCACAAACCUAAUUUUUUCCUAGCACUCACACUGGGUAGCUCACCAUCACCUAAAACUCCAGAUCCAGAAGAUUGACAUUGGUAGCUUUCACAGGCAUCCACACGGAUGUGUACAAAUCCAUUCAUAGACACAAACACUUAUACACACACUUCAAAUGGAAUAAGCCUUUUGAAAAUGAAAGGGUGAUUUUUCCCAUGUAAAUGGGUUCUAGCUGACAAGUUUUUGACUGAUAAAUUAUUUCUUCC